CACAAAAACCCCAUUUUACCCUCAACUUCUUCAAACUUCUACUAUUUUCUCCUGCUUCAUUCCCAUUACAGUGUGGUAAUUCUGAAACCUCACAGCACUAAACCGAUUAAAGAGUAAGAUGGGGACCCUUGGCAGAGCCGUAUACUCCGUCGGAUUCUGGAUUCGCGAGACGGGCCAGGCCCUCGAUCGUCUCGGCUGCCGCCUCCAGGGCAACUAUUACUUCCAAGAACAAUUGUCUAGACAUCGAACUCUAAUGAACGUAUUUGAUAAAGCUCCCGUGGUUGAUAAGGAUGCAUUUUUGGCUCCCAGUGCCUCUAUCAUUGGGGAUGUUCAAAUCGGAAGAGGAUCAUCUAUUUGGUAUGGAUGUGUUUUGAGAGGUGAUGUGAACAGCAUUAGCAUUGGAUGUGGAACUAAUAUACAAGAUAACUCCCUUGUGCAUGUGGCAAAAUCUAAUUUAAGUGGAAAGGUGCUACCAACUAUAGUUGGGGACAAUGUUACUGUAGGCCAUAGUGCUGUUCUACAUGGCUGCACUGUUGAGGAUGAGGCUUUUGUUGGCAUGGGAGCUACACUUCUUGAUGGUGUUGUUGUACAGAAACAUGCCAUGGUUGCUGCUGGAGCUCUUGUAAGACAGAACACAAAGAUCCCUGCUGGAGAGGUCUGGGGGGGCAAUCCAGCAAAGUUUCUUAGGAAGCUAACUGAUGAAGAGAUAGCCUUUAUUGCGCAAUCAGCAACCAAUUAUUCCAAUCUUGCACAAGUUCAUGCUUCUGAGAAUGCUAAGCCUUUUGAUGAGAUUGAAUUUGAGAAACUUCUUCGCAAGAAGUUUGCUCGUCGGGAUGAAGAGUAUGAUUCAAUGCUGGGUGUUGUUCGUGAAACUCCCCCUGAACUUACUCUUCCAGAUAAUAUCAUACCAGACAGAGCACCCAAGGCAAUUUAAGGUUUUUCAUGAGCAGCGAGGGAUGCUCGGAAGGAACUUCUAUGAUUUUCUUUGCUAUGAGAAUUAUUAGCAGGAGGGGCCAUAAAAAGUGCAAAGGGCUGGGAAGGCACUGUGAUAAAAAACACACACUCAUGCACUGCGCAGGAUACAAGUCUUGAGAGUUUUUAGAUGGAAAAGAAUUGUGAUUGGAAAGCAAAAGCAAGUUAAAAGUAAACCUAACUUGUGUGGAUAAUGUCCUUUUUUGCUUUGUUUUGUCUGCUUUUCUUUGUAGAGUAUGCGGCUAUGCUGAGUAGGAGCCUACGUUUCUUGUUUCCGUUUGAGAUUACUUUAAAAGUUGAAGUCGUUUAUGAUUUUAGUUUA